rnacentral:rRNA from 1 species
UUACGGGAGGCAGCAGUGGGGAAUUUUGGACAAUGGGCGAAAGCCUGAUCCAGCCAUUCCGCGUGAGUGAAGAAGGCCUUCGGGUUGUAAAGCUCUUUCGCAAGGGAAGAAAACUUAUAUUCUAAUAAAGUAUGAGGAUGACGGUACCUUGAUAAGAAGCACCGGCUAACUACGUGCCAGCAGCCGCGGUAAUACGUAGGGUGCGAGCGUUAAUCGGAAUUACUGGGCGUAAAGCGUGCGCAGGCGGUUUUGAAAGUCAGAUGUGAAAUCCCCGAGCUCAACUUGGGAACUGCGUUUGAAACUCCAAAGCUAGAGUAUAGGAGAGGGGGGUAGAAUUCCACGUGUAGCAGUGAAAUGCGUAGAGAUGUGGAGGAAUACCAAUGGCGAAGGCAGCCCCCUGGCCUAAUACUGACGCUCAUGCACGAAAGCGUGGGGAGCAAACAGGAUUAGAUACCCCCGUAGUCCG